UGGGGAAUAUUGGACAAUGGGGGCAACCCUGAUCCAGCCAUGCCGCGUGUGUGAAGAAGGCCUUUUGGUUGUAAAGCACUUUAAGCAGGGAGGAGAGGCUAAUGGUUAAUACCCAUUAGAUUAGACGUUACCUGCAGAAUAAGCACCGGCUAACUCUGUGCCAGCAGCCGCGGUAAUACAGAGGGUGCGAGCGUUAAUCGGAAUUACUGGGCGUAAAGCGAGUGUAGGUGGCUCAUUAAGUCACAUGUGAAAUCCCCGGGCUUAACCUGGGAACUGCAUGUGAUACUGGUGGUGCUAGAAUAUGUGAGAGGGAGGUAGAAUUCCCAGGUGUAGCGGUGAAAUGCGUAGAGAUCUGGAGGAAAUACCGAUGGCGAAGGCAGCUUCCUGGCAUAAUAUUGACACUGAGAUUCGAAAGCGUGGGUAGCAAAACAGGAUUAGAUACCCUGGUAGUCCACGCCGUAAAACGAUGUCUACUAGCCGUUGGGGUCCUUGAGACUUUAGUGGCGCAGUUAACGCGAUAAGUAGACCGCCUGGGGAGU
rnacentral:rRNA from 1 species